AACAUGAACGCUCAUAGCGGUUUUGUUUGUAAUAAGCCCAAAUCUGGAAGCAGCCCAAACAUCCUUCAACAGACAGAUGGAUAAACAAAUUAUGGUCUAUCCAUACAGCAGUUUGCUCUUGCACAAUGAAAAGGAAGAGCUCAGACACACAACAGCAGUGACGGAGCUCAAAAUAAUUACACCGGGCGAAAGAAGCCAUGUGCUCUGCUCCUGGAAAGCAUAUAUUGUGGGUCCUGUGAGAAGAUUCUAAAAGGGCUUGUGGGGGAGCUGAGAACAGUCCCGACCCACCUGCUGUCCACCUGAGGCUCCCUGUGAGGAUCUCUCUCUAGACCAUGGAGCCAAGCCCUCAACUCAGCCUUCUUUACUGCUCCAUCUUUGUGAACCUCAUCACCCAAGAGGAUUGGACCAGAGUUGAGCUACAUAGUGACUUCCAGGUCAGCCUGACUAAUGCAGAUUCUGACUUUAAAAAAAUCAAAACAAGAAGGUGGGCAUGGAAUCACAGUGUUGGGGGAUGGGGGUCAGGAGGAUCAAACAUUCAAGCUCAGCCUGGGCUACAGGAGAACCUGCUGCAAACAAAAACAAAAAUAGCUUUGUAGGUUUUCAGUAGGAAAAAAGAUGUCGAGACAGGGUUUCUUUGCGUAGCCUUUGCUGUCUUGGAACUAGCUCGGUAGACCUGGCUUGCUUCAAACGCAGAGAUCCACCUGCCUUGUCCUCCUGUAUGCUGGGACUAAAGGCGUGCACUACCACUGCCUGGCUUCAAUAGAAAUUUUCAUUAAUUUCUAUUUUUCUAUCUUUGUGUAUUUUAUGUGUACAUAUGUGUUCCUGGGUGGGGCACAGUCAGGGUCAUUAUUUGGUAUCUUUAUCAUCACUCUCACCUUAGACUUUGAGACAGGAUCUCUCAUUGAACCUGAAGCUCACUGGCAGGCCAGCAAGUCCUGGGGAUCCCCCUGCCUCUGCCUCUGAAGCACUGGUAUAAUAGGUGCCUGCUUCUAUGCUCAGUUUUGUAUUGAGUUCAGGGGAUCUAAACUCAUGUAUGUCCUCAUGGUUGUAUGAUAAACACCUUUUUCACAGAACCAUCUCCCCAGCCCCUUCUUUGUGUAUCCAUCCUGUGGCUGACAUUUUUUUUUCUUCCAGUCUCAAAAAAUUUUAUAGCCCAGUAGGAAAUUCACAAGCCCUGGGCUGUGAGGCUCCUGUGUCAAGAAUUAUGAGUAUCAAGAAUUAGAAGAUGCCCAACACAAGCUGGGAGCGGUGGCACACACCUUUAGUCCCAGCACUCAGGAGGCAGAGGCAGGCAGAUCUCUGAGUUCAAUGCCAGCCUGGUCUACAGAGUUCCAGGGCAGUCAGGGCUACACAGAGAAACCCUAUCUCAAAUAAACGAAGAAAAGGAUGCUUAAGACUACUUCUGCCUCUGUGCUACGCUGACCUCUGCUGUGUAGUCUUUAACCAUCCAUCUCUUCCUUGGAUCUGCGUACCUUAGAGCAAAGCAGAGCCAGGCUCUUGGGUCAGUUGAAUUUUAAGUUCAUGAUUUCUCAAGCUACCAAUCUGACUGCAGCCCCUGUGUGUUUCUCAGUCAAGAGGAUAACUAGAGAGCACUUCCUUCUGAGGCUCUCUGAGCAUGGCACGGAGCACAGUGGCCAGAACAUCAUAUGCCCACAAGUCACCCCUUUAGAGCCUUAUAGAUAAAUUCCAUCACCCCUACUUUAUAGAUAAGAAGAAAGAGACUACAGAGUGAAUCUGAAGAUUACAUGGAACUGUGUGAUCCCAGUUUUUCUCAUCUUUCUCCACAACCCUACCCGGGCAUCCUUCGCUCCUUCCCUGUUCUUGGUUCCCACUGAGACCCAGACUUCACUGAUUCUUAGACUCCAUCUUGCCAGCAUCUGGGCUAGCUCAAAAGUGUCAACCAAUCCCAUAUUCUCAAAGUUCCCGUUGGGAAAACAACAUCAGCCAAAGCCAAAAACUUCAGAGCCACUCAAGAGGGAUGGUGGGACCUGGUAGGCCUCCCUUCCAUUGUUCUGUGGCCUGUGUUCCCUGAGGAUCAAACACCCACCACAGCUCCAAGCUGAGCAGGAGGCAUCGAGUAUACACACUCUCCAGCCCUGUACCCUCUGCAUCUCUCGUUAGUGCCUUGCCUCUAUACAGAGUUUGGGAGUGGAGGAGCUUAGAAGAGGCUAGGUCCAUUGCUGACCACCUUUGAGGCUGCCACUGGGAGAUUCCUCUAAAGGCCACUGGGUCAGUUAUUUAACGAAGAACUCCAAAAUGGCCCUUCUAUACUCUUCCAUCUUUGUGAACCACGUCACAGAAUUGGUGAAAAGAAGAUCAAUUUGUCACUGACCAUCUUUGCCAAUCCUCUUCCCACCCUGGCUAGGAAUAAGGAACCACCCAGGUCCAUUCGACUCCUGGCAGCAGCUGGGAGCGUGGCUGCAGGCGUCCAGCCUCCCAGCUCUGGACGGCUGAUAUUUAUCGUCAGGUUGGCAGUAGCUAGAAUUAUGAGGAGAGAAGUCUCUGGGCAUGGCUCUGAGGAGUGAUCUAGAUUAGACCUAGGUGGGAAGACACAGCCCUGAACGUGGGCGGUGCUGUUUCAUGGGCUGGACUGAA